rnacentral:misc_RNA from 1 species
AACAAGGCGUACCUGCGGACCUGCGGAGGGAUCAUUACAGAGUUGCAAAACUCCCUAAACCAUUGUGAACGUUACCUAAACCGUUGCUUCGGCGGGCGGCCCGGGUCCUUCCCGGCGCCCCUCGGCCCUCGCGGGCGCCCGCCGGAGGUAAACCAAACUAUUGCAUUGUAUGGCCUCUCUGAGUCUUCUGUACUGAAUAAGUCAAAACUUUUAACAAUGGAUCUCAGAUCGGAAGAGCAC